AAAAGUUGGCAUUUCUAUUGCAGUUCAGCGUAUCUCAACAGCAUACACUCGACUCGCUUAAUUUUUAAAAAGGUGAUCAUGUUAAUAGCUGAAUCAUUACGACCUCGUGUUUUGCGCGAAUCUGUAACGAGUAUUCGGCCUAAAACAAGUGUUCUGAUUUAAGAAAGCAUUUGCAUAAAAGAACUUAACUGUGAUCAGAGGAAGAAAAUGAAGCUCGCACUAUUCGUUUUCGGAAUCCUCAUGGUUGUUUCACUAAGCAUGUUAGCGAUUCAUAUGAUAAAUUAUUUUAAUAAUAUCUCGGACAGUGAAGCUCGUAUUCCACCCGUCCAAUCGCGACGCCCAAGUCAACAGGAAACUUUCACAACAUCUAAUACACACGGCAUUUAUAAUGUAACAGCUUCUACAUUUAUGGGGAGGCAUGGAGGAACCACACCGACGGCAUGAUGCAAUACAUGUGGUUGGUGGCCGUUUUCAGCAACAACUCAAAAUCCAGGCAGGUAUUCGACUGGUGUCUAGCAGAGACCUCGUCAAAUGCUUUCCAUAAAUACAAACCUUGUGAUGACAAUCGAAUUAUGUGUACUCUCUAGUGUUCUU